rnacentral:rRNA from 1 species
GAUGAACGCUGGCGGCGUGCCUAAUACAUGCAAGUCGAGCGAACAGACGAGGAGCUUGCUCCUCUGACGUUAGCGGCGGACGGGCGAGUAACACGUGGAUAACCUACCUCUAAGACUGGGAUAACUUCGGGAAACCGGAGCUAAUACCGGAUAAUAUAUUGAACCGCAUGGUUCAAUAGUGAAAGACGGUUUUGCUGUCACUUAUAGAUGGAUCCGCGCCGCAUUAGCUAGUUGGUAAGGUAACGGCUUACCAAGGCAACGAUGCGUAGCCGACCUGAGAGGGUGAUCGGCCACACUGGAACUGAGACACGGUCCAGACUCCUACGGGAGGCAGCAGUAGGGAAUCUUCCGCAAUGGGCGAAAGCCUGACGGAGCAACGCCGCGUGAGUGAUGAAGGUCUUCGGAUCGUAAAACUCUGUUAUUAGGGAAGAACAAAUGUGUAAGUAACUAUGCACGUCUUGACGGUACCUAAUCAGAAAGCCACGGCUAACUACGUG